UAGCUAGUUGGUGAGGUAAAGGCUUACCAAGGCGACGAUCUGUAGCGGGCCUGAGAGGAUGAUCCGCCACACUGGAACUGAGACACGGUCCAGACUCCUACGGGAGGCAGCAGUGGGGAAUUUUGGACAAUGGGGGCAACCCUGAUCCAGCCAUGCCGCGUGAGUGAAGAAGGCCUUCGGGUUGUAAAGCUCUUUCGGCCGGGAAGAAAUCGCAUGGGCCAAUACCCUGUGUGGAUGACGGUACCGGAAUAAGAAGCACCGGCUAACUACGUGCCAGCAGCCGCGGUAAUACGUAGGGUGCGAGCGUUAAUCGGAAUUACUGGGCGUAAAGCGUGCGCAGGCGGUUUUGUAAGACAGGCGUGAAAUCCCCGGGCUUAACCUGGGAACUGCGUUUGUGACUGCAAGGCUAGAGUACGGCAGAGGGGGGUGGAAUUCCACGUGUAGCAGUGAAAUGCGUAGAGAUGUGGAGGAACACCAAUGGCGAAGGCAGCCCCCUGGGUCGAUACUGACGCUCAUGCACGAAAGCGUGGGUAGCAAACAGGAUUAGAUACCCUGGUAGUCCACGCCCUUAACUAUGUCAACUAGGUGUUGGGUGGGUAAAACCAUUUAGUACCGUAGCUAACGCGUGAAGUUGACCGCCUGGGGAGUACGGCCGCAAGGUUAAAACUCAAAGGAAUUGACGGGGACCCGCACAAGCGGUGGAUGAUGUGGAUUAAUUCGAUGCAACGCGAAAAACCUUACCUACCCUUGACAUGCCAGGAACUUGCCAGAGGUGGCUUGGUGCCCGAAAGGGAGCCUGGACACAGGUGCUGCAUGGCUGUCGUCAGCUCGUGUCGUGAGAUGUUGGGUUAAGUCCCGCAACGAGCGCAACCCUUGUCGUUAAUUGCCAUCAUUUAGUUGGGCACUUUAACGAGACUGCCGGUGACAAACCGGAGGAAGGUGGGGAUGACGUCAAGUCCUCAUGGCCCUUAUGGGUAGGGCUUCACACGUCAUACAAUGGUCGGUACAAAGGGUUGCCAAGCCGCGAGGCGGAGCCAAUCCCAGAAAGCCGAUCGUAGUCCGGAUUGCAGGCUGCAACUCGCCUGCAUGAAGUCGGAAUCGCUAGUAAUCGUGGAUCAGCAUGUCACGGUGAAUACGUUCCCGGGUCUUGUACACACCGCCCGUCACACCAUGGGAGCGGGUUCCGCCAGAAGUAGGUAGCCUAACCGCAAGGGGGGCGCUUACCACGGCGGGGUUCGUGACUGGGGUGAAGUCGGAACAAGGUAGCCGUAGGGGAACCUGCGGCUG
rnacentral:rRNA from 1 species